rnacentral:lncRNA from 1 species
UCCUCUUCCAUUUCAUUUUAGCAUAGCACGGUCCUUCUCAUCGAUUAGAGCUCGUCUCAAUUUUCUUUUCUGAAAACUCCUGCAUUAGGAGUUUCCUUGUGGCUCAGCAAGUUAAGGAUCUGGCAUUGUCAGCGCUGUGGCUCCGGACGCUGCUGUGGCACAACUUUGAUCCCUAGCCCAGGAACUUGCAUGUGCUGGGGGUACAGCCAAAAAAUAAAAUAAAAAACCUUUAUUAAAAAGACUUUAUCUAAAAUGAUCACAUUUGUUUGUUCACAUGUGUUAUUGAGAACCUAAGCAUAGUCUGUCCUCACUGAUAUUAUGAAGUAGAUAAAAACAUACACUGGAGGGAGUUUCUGUUGUUGUGCAGUGGAAACGAAUCUGACUGGUAACCAUGAGGUUGCAGGUUCGAUCUCUGGCCUAACAUUGCCGUGAGCUGCGGUGUAGGUCGAAGAUGCAGCUGAGAUCCUGUGUUGCUGUGGCUGUGAUAUAGGCCAGAAGCUGUAGCUCCGAUUCAACCCCUAGCCUGGGAACUUCCAUGUGCCACAGGUGAGGCCCUAAAAAGCAAGAAACAAAAAACAAACAAAAAAAACCAUCUGAAUUUUGAAGACUUGGUAUGAAGAAAAGGAUAUAAAAUGCCUCAUUAAUAAAAUGCUUUGCAUAUCUUGAGUUAAAUACAACAAAUUAUUAAAAUUAAUUCAUCCAUUUCCUUUUACUUUUUGUAGUGUAGAUGGCUACUCCAAAAAUAAAACUAUGGAGUCCUGGCCUGGCUCAGCGGAAACGAAACUGUUAAAUUUUUUUUUUUUUUUGGUCUUUUUACCUUUUCUAGGACCGAUCCUGUGGCAUAUGGAGGGGAAGAGGGAGGGACCCCUGAGACAGCAGGGAAGCCCUCAGGGUUGGCUGUAAACCUUUUCAGAAGAAAGCAAUGCUCUGGAAUGUCCUUUGAGCCUUGCGUGGUUGUGGCAAAGGGAUAGUCCAUUUUUUUUUCCUUAUGAUAGAUGAGGACGGCACCCCUCUGGAGGGUCCAGGUCGCAUGAACUAUUUUGACUGAAAUAGCUAAAUAAAGAUGCUAACAAAUAGGGAGCUAUCUAGACCAAUAACUCUCAGGCAAUGGUUUGCCAACCGUGAGCACUGGUGGGCUCUUUGUCACUGUGCGCACCUUAGGGUAGGGUAGGGGUU